GACGAACCGAGCGAACGUUGUUCGGAAUCACUGGGCUUAAAGGGCGCGUAGGCGGGUGCUCAAGUCCGGGGUGAAAUCCCACAGCUCAACUGUGGAAUUGCCUCGGAUACUGGGUGUCUCGAGGGUGGUAGGGGUAUGCGGAACUAUCGGUGGAGCGGUGAAAUGCGUUGAUAUCGAUAGGAACUCCGGUGGCGAAGGCGGCAUACUGGACCACUUCUGACGCUGAGGCGCGAAAGCCAGGGGAGCAAACGGG
rnacentral:rRNA from 1 species